UGGAAAGCCUCAGGGUGGUGUCUGGUGCCAGGCCAGUCUCGUCCCUCACCCCCUCCCUGCCCCCAACCUCUGGGGCGGGGUGAGGAUGAGCUGGAUCAGUCCCAGCGGGUGUGGGGAGCGUCUGUACAGAGACGGCGGUGGGGGACUCCAGCUCAUGCCUCUCCCCUGUCCCUGGCCCUGCGUCUCUCUUCUCUGUUCUCUUGCAGCCGCCACUGACGCAACAAAUCAGCGAAUGCUCCAAGCAUCCCCCAAGUUCUGCGUGCCACUGGUUCAUUGAACCCAAGGAGGGGCGUGGGAACCCCAGUCCAUAGGCCGUAGGUCAGAAGUACAGGCGACAACCUGCUCCUCGCCACUGGUGUCUGAACUGGGGACACUCUCGUGGGACUGAGCCCUCAGCCACGGGCUCUGCCUCUACCUGUAGGUAAAUGCGGUCACAUGGAUUGGACUGUAGACAUCCGGUAGGUGUGGAUGCACACUGGUUGUCGGCAGGGAGAACCACACAUGUCUGCCCACACAAACGCGACGUGUUGGGGUGACUGUGACAGUGGGUCCCCACGCUGUCACCCUCCUCUGGGAUCUGGUCUCAGGGGCCCGGCCCAUGUCCCUGCCGCUAUGCUGUCCCCUCUGCCCUCCCAUUAUGGAGCACAGGCGAACUCCACUUCUCCUACAGGAAGAUGAGGGCAGGACUCACACACGGGGCACCCGACCUCCAGGAUGACAAGGCUCCCUGCUGAUGUGCCUGGGACCCCGGCAGCAGAAGACGGCUCAAGCGUGCAGGCCCCUGCCAUCGACAUGGGAGACCUGGAUGGAGUUCCAGGCUCCUUGCUCUGCAGCCCGGAGGCCAUUCGAAGAGUGAGC